GAUGAACGCUGGCGGCGUGCCUAAUACAUGCCAGUCGAGCGAACAGACGAGGAGCUUGCUCCUUUGACGUUAGCGGCGGACGUGUGAGUAACACGUAGGUAACCUACCUAUAAGACUGGGAUAACUUCGGGAAACCGGAGCCAAUACCGGAUAACAUUUCGAACCGCAUGGUUCGAUAGUCAAAGAUGGCUUUGCCAUCACUUAUAGAUCGACCUGCGCCGUAUUAGCUACUUGGUAACGUAACGGCUGACCAAGCCGACGAUACGUAGCCGACCUGGGAGGGUGAUCGGUCACACUAGGUCUGAGACACGUUCCAGACUCCCAGGGGAGGCAGCCGUAGGGCAUCUUCCGAACUGGGCGAAUGCCUGACGGAGGACCGCCGCGUGAGUGAUGAGGGUCUUCGGAGAGUAGAACUCUGGUAAUAGGGAAGAACGAACGUGUAAGUAACUUGGAACGUCUUGACGGUACCUAAACAGAAAGGCACGCCUUACUUCGAG
rnacentral:rRNA from 1 species